GACGAACGCUGGCGGCGUGCCUAAUACAUGCAAGUUGAGCGCUGAAGGUUGGUACUUGUACCAACUGGAUGAGCAGCGAACGGGUGAGUAACGCGUGGGUAAUCUGCCUUUGAGCGGGGGACAACAUUUGGAAACGAAUGCUAAUACCGCAUAAAAUCUUUAAACACAAGUUUUAAGUUUGAAAGAUGCAAUUGCAUCACUCAAAGAUGAUCCCGCGUUGUAUUAGCUAGUUGGUGAGGUAAAGGCUCACCAAGGCGAUGAUACAUAGCCGACCUGAGAGGGUGAUAGGCCACAUUGGGACUGAGACACGGCCCAAACUCCUACGGGAGGCAGCAGGAGGGAAUCUUCGGCAAUGGACGAAAGUCUGACCGAGCAACGCCGCGGGAGGGAAGAAGGUUUUCGGAUCGUAAAACUAUGUUGGUAGAGAAGAACGAUAGUGAGAGUGGAAAGCUCAUCAAGUGACGGUAACUACCCAGAAAGGGACGGCUAACUACGUG
rnacentral:rRNA from 1 species